rnacentral:lncRNA from 1 species
GUAGGAAAAGAUGGGAUUGUGCAAAUAAUUAGAAUUUCCUAUUGAUAUUCGGAAGUAAGAAAAUUUGACUUCGUUUAGAGGUUAAGAAAAUUUGACUUCGUUUAGAGGUUAUUAGAAAUGUUGCUAAAAUUGGUUCAUAUCUAUGCCAUUUUGGGUCUAAAACUAAAAUUUUAAUAGGGCUUUAGUACAUUGGAUAGAAGGGAGGGGGAUUCUUAGAUGUGCUAGCAUAACAUUAUGGAAUUAGUACUGUCAAUUAAGUUUGAAAUC